rnacentral:tRNA from 1 species
GUAAGCAUAGUUUAAAUAAAACAUUAGGCUGUGGACCUAAAACCAGGAAUUAAAACCUUCCUUGCAUACC